rnacentral:rRNA from 1 species
UACGUAGGGUGCGAGCGUUGUCCGGAAUUACUGGGCGUAAAGGGCUCGUAGGCGGCCAACUAAGUCAUACGUGAAAUCCCUCAGCUUAACUGGGGAACUGCGUGUGAUACUGGAUGGCUUGGAUUUGGGAGAGGGAUGCGGAAUUCCAGGUGUAGCGGUGAAAUGCGUAGAUAUCUGGAGGAACACCGGUGGCGAAGGCGACAUCCUGGACCGGUAUUGACGCUGAGGCGCGAAAGCCAGGGGAGCAAACGGG